GAUUCCUUACAGGAAGUGGCCUGUCUGACCAUUUCUUGCCCUCCUUGAUCAUCUCUAACAAAUACAGGGGAUCUCUGGCAUGACGUGACACUUCCUACGGCUCCCAUGGGCUCUCAGAAGGCGGGAAAAAGCUGAACGAUGUAAUUCCAUCCCCAGGCUGAAACACAUUAGCGCGUUUGGCAAGUGCUCUAUCAGAGGGCCAUUAGACUGAGGCUCGUGCAUGAGGGGAUAGCAUGCUUUUACUUUCACUCUCUUUGUAAUAAAAAACGAUUUCCCAGUCAGAAUAUUAUCGCUUUUUUACGAGAAAAAUGGCAUAAAAAUAGAUUUUAAACAGCGGUUGACAUGCUUCGAAGUACGGUAAUGGAAUAUUUAGAACUUUUUUGUCACGAAAUGCGCCAUGCUCGUCACCCUUAUUUACCCUUUCGGAUAGUGUCUUGAACGCACGAACAAAACUCCGCUAUUUGGAUAUAACAAUGGAUUAUUUGGGACCAAACCAACAUUUGUUAUUGAAGUAGAAGUCCUGGGAGUGCAUUCUGAUGAAGAACAGCAAAGGACCGAGGAUUCCCCAGGCUGAGUGAUCCAGACCAUGAAAUGGCUGAGCCAGCCAUGAUACUGUUAUAUCGAGAAAACGAGGGAAUAACUACACUGUUUGGAUUCAACCAUAUUCCCAGUGACCUUGCCAUGGUUAAAUGCGGCGGUUCGCACUUUCAGUUUUGUGCGAAUGCUGCCAUCUAUCCACAGUUUCUUACUUGGGUAGGUUUUAAUAGUCACAGUGGGAACAACAUCCGCUAUACACUUCCUGAGGAACUCAGUCACCGUGUCCGUGUAUACGUCGAUGUUAUUCUCAGAGGCUACCCGGAACAUAUCCCAGUCUGCGUGAUCAAAACAUUCUUGAAGCAUGGAUUCCGAUUGGUCAGACCAGUGUUGAAUAGACUUCAGCACGGGUACUUCCUGUUUGAGUUUCUGCCUAUAAGAAGGGAUGAGCAAAAUGGAGUCAUGAUCUGAUUUGCCGAAGGGAGGGCCGGGAGGGCCUUGUAGGCAUCCCGGAAGUUGGAGUAGCAGUGGUCAAGUGUUAAAGCAGCAUGAGUACUACAGUCAAUGUGUUGAUAUAACUUCGGCAGCGUUUUCCUCAAAUUUGCUUUGUUAAAAUCCACAGCUACAAUAAAUGUGGCCUCUGGAUAUAGUUGAUUUCCAGUUUGCACAAAGUCCAGUGUAGUUCCUUGAGGGCCGUCGUGGUAUCGGCUUGAGGGGGAAUAUACACGGCUGUGACACGUAAUAAGGUCGGCAUUUGAUUGUGAGGUAUUCUAGUUGGGUGAACAAAAGGACAUUCUGUACGUUAUCACAAUCACACCAUGAGUAGUUAAGUUCUUCCAGGAGAGUUCUUUAUUCCUGUCUGCGCGAUGUACUGAGAACCCAGCUGGCUGUAUGGACGGGGACAGUAUAUCCGGAGAGAGCCAUGAUUUUCAAAUCAAAACCCAACCUUCAUUUACCCGUUGUGCUGCACGGAUGUUCCAAACUCUGUUUUAGACGAGAUUGACUUUAUGACCAAAUUUUUCCUAUAUACUCUUUGUAGUCAAUUUUGACACUAGAGUAAGUGUUUCUGACUCAUAUCGAUGCCACAUAGGCCAUUUCCAAAGGGAUACAUUGCUUUUUAAAGGCAGUCGCUCUUUAACCCUUUUUGGAAAGGAAGGGGGGUGAUGUGUUAAAUAAAGGUGACCUAGUUAUGUCUGAAAAUAUGAAAUGGAAAAGAUAUUCAAGGGUGCCAGAAUAUCCAUGGAUGCUUCAGGCCAAUCUAGUUUUUAAAAUGGACUUUUAAAUAAUAGAGACAUUUCUAUCAGUUAUAAUCUUUCCACAUUAAACAGCUCUCAGGAUGUGUUUCAUGUAAAAAGUACAGUCACUAUCAAAAGCACAUAGGAAAAGUGAAGCUUUGAGAGCUUUGAGCUUUCAUGCUAAAUGAGGAUAGCUCUUUGAAAUGUAAGACAAAUUAGAGAAGAUAUCUGAAUGUUUGAAUAGGCAUUGUGAUAAAAAAGAGAUGAGCCACUGACUUAACUUAACUCCACAAUGAGCUGCCUUAUAAGGUUAUGCUGUUAGAGGCCACAGAUUCCCCCUCUACCAGUUUUACUGGGGCAAGGUCAAGCAGGCUGUGACUCUCUGUACAUUAUCAUAUGCACCUGAGACUUUUUUUAUAUAGAGUCAAGUCCAUAAAUAUUGGCAACCUUGAUAAAGAUGAGCAAAAAAUACCUUACAGAAUGAAUUAUACAAAUUCUGAGUAAUAAAAAAGAAAAAAAUUAUAAUUAUUUGCACCCCUGUUUUCAAUACUCUAGCACCAUCUCCUUGCGAGGAUAACGACACUGAGCCUGUAAUCUGACCAUAGCACCCCUCCUAGAGUUUGAUAAAUAGCAUUGACAUUUGGAUUGGAACCCGUGCUAUGGUCAGAUGACAUUAAAAUAGAGUCCUUUGGCCACGCAUACCAUGAGUGGGUUUGGCAUUGAAAAACAGAAAUAUAUGCAAAAAAGUAACUAAUACCUGUGGUAAAAUAUUGUGGUGGAUCUUUGAUGUUAUGGGGCUAUUUAGCAUUUGGUUUGGCAAGUCAGUGAAGAACAAAUUCUUAUUUACAAUGACGGCCUACCAAAAGGCAAAAGGCCUCCUGCAGGGACAAGGGCUGGGAUUAAAAAUAAAAAUAUAGGACAAAACACACAUCAUGACAAGAGAGACACCACAACACUACAUAGAGAGAGACCUAAGACAACAACAUAGCAUGGCAGCAACACAUGAAAACACAGCAUGGUAGCGACUCAACAUGGCAGCAGCACAACAUGGUAGCAGCACAAAACAUGGUACAAACAUUACUGAGCACAGACAACAGCACAAAGGGCAAGAAGGUAGAGACAACAAUACAUCACACAAAGCAGCCACAACUGUCAGUAAGUGUCCAUGAUUGAGUCUUUGAAUGAAGAGAUGGAGAUAAAACUUCCACUGGUCUUGGGGCCCGUGUUAAGGUCAAGGGCAUCAUAAACUUUACCAAGUACCAGGACAUUUUAGCCAAAAACCUGGUUGCCUCUGCCUGGAGGCUGACACUUGGCCUCAAGUGGAUCUUCCAGCAAGACAAUAACCCCAAGCACAAAUCAAAAUCCACAAAGAAAUGGUUAAUUGACCUCAAAAUGAAAAUGAUGCAAUGGCCAUCUCAGUCUCUGGACUUGAACCCCAUUGAAAACCUGUGGUUUGAAUGAAAGAGGGCAGUCCAUGAGAGUAGAAGAAGGAUAUCAAGGAUCUGUAAAGAUUCUGUAUGGAGGAAUGGUCUAAGAUCCCUCCCAACGUGUUCAACAAUCUCAUAAAACACUAUAGAAAAAGGCUCCGUGUCAUUAUCUGAGCAAUUGUAUUAGUUUAAAAUAAUGUAAUUUCCCUUUUUUAAUUUUUUUUUACUCAGUAUUUUAAUAAUUUAUUUCAUACAGUAUUUUUUACUCAUCUUUAUCAAGGGUGCCAAUAAUUAUGGACCUGACUAUAUAUAUUUCCCCCAUCGCAAAUCAUCCUGUAAAAUACUUUUUUUAUGUAUACAUCUCUACAUACAUAAUUUAUAAUGUAGCUUAGUGUUCAUAGUAAAGCUUAUAGUUCUUAGCUUGCAGUGUACAUAGUGUGCAUACCGCAUGUUAAUUUCGGUAAACUCUGCAUCUACAUAUGUUGUCUGUAUAUCCUGUUUAUUGUGUGUCUGUAUAUUCUGUUUAUCGUGUGUCUGUAUAUUCUGUUUAUGUGGCAGCACCAUUUCACCAAGUCAAAUAUCCUGUACAUGCAAAUGUAUUUGGUGAAUAAAGGGGAUUCUGAUGCUGUUUGAUUGGGGUCAGAGAGGCAUCGCAGUGUUUUAUUGUUUCUGUUCAUGGAUACUCUGAUGCAUAGGUUAUUGUAAUGUACUGUUGACAUGAGAACUCAGCUGUAAAUCUAAUCUACAAUGUGAUUUGUUCUCUGUGACUGCUAUUGAGGACAUUUCAUAUGUGCUCUGAAUGCUCAUAUCCAGGGCUCAUAUCCCUGGCAGAAAUAAUUCAACAAGGCUGAAUUUGAAAUAACGUAUUUGACUUAAUCUCUAAAGGUGUCUGAUUAAGCAGCGCAAAAACAAAUUUCCUCCGAGGAGAUUAGUGAACACAGAGGAGGAAGUGUCAAUCUGCCAUGCCUUCAACUCUGUUGUCUUGGAAACGAAGGGGAUCAGCAUCUCUCUGCUGUCCCAAGGUGUUACAGUCAUUUCUGCUGGGUCAUGAGAGGAAUGGGAGGUACCAUAACAGACUCGUAUUUACAUGAAGGUAUAUCUGCUUUCCUUCCGUGAUUGGUUGCUAUUGUAAUGCCUGGGUUAUAACCUGCUAAUUUGGUAGAGGAAAUGGAUUUGUGCACAUGGCCUUCAAAUCACAAACACAGGCACAAACGCACUCACAUACACAGGCACGCACACAGAUGUGCACACACACAUCCUUAGCACACAUCCUUGUUGUCCUCUUACAUUUUUUAUAAUACCAUAACACCUUAGUUAAUUAAAAUGG
rnacentral:lncRNA from 1 species